GAUGAAGAACGCAGCGAAAUGCGAUAAGUAAUGCGAAUUGCAGAAUUCAGUGAGCCAUCGAAUCUUUGAACGCACAUUGCGCCAUGUGGUAUUCCGCAGGGCAUGCCUGUUCGAGCGUCAUUUCAACCCUCAAGCUCUGCUUGGUGUUGGGCCACGCCCCCGCGGCCGGCCCCAAAGCUAGUGGCGGUGCCGUCUGGCUCUAAGCGUAGUACAUCUCUCGCUCUAGGGCCCGGCGGUUGCUUGCCAGAACCCACACUCUUAUGGUUGACCUCGGAUCAGGUAGGGAUACCCGCUGAACUUAAGCAUAUCAAUAAGCGGAGGA
rnacentral:misc_RNA from 1 species